AUCGCAACACCUAAAGGAUCCUCAUUAAGGUGGGUGGAAUAGUAUAACAAUAUGCUAAAUGUUGUUAUAGUAUCCCACCUACCCUGAUGUAUCUUUAAGACUAUCUUACGGU
ensembl:miRNA